GAUGAACGCUGGCGGCGUGCCUAAUACAUGCAAGUCGAGCGAACAGACGAGGAUCUUGUUCCUCUGACGUUAGCGGCGGACGGGUGAGUAACACGUGUAUAACCUACCUAUCUGACUGGGAUCACUUCGGGAAACCGGAGCUAAUACCGGAUGAUAUAUUGAACCGCAUGGUUGGAUAGUGAAAGACGGUUUUGCUGUAACUUAUAGAUGGAUCCGCGCCGCAUUAGCUAGUUGGUAAGGUAACGGCUUACUAAGGCAACGAUGCGUAGCCGACCUGAGAGGGUGAUCGCCCACACUGGAACGGAGACACGCUCCAGACUCCUGCGGGAGGCAGCAGAAUGGAAUCGGACGCAAUGGGCGAGAGCCUGACGGAGCAACGCCGCGUGAGUGAUGAAGACGUCCGGAGCGUAAAACUCUGUUAUUAGGGAAGAACAAAUGUGUAAGUAACUGUGCACGUCUUGACGGUACCUAGUCAAGAAGCCCCGGCUAACUACGUG
rnacentral:rRNA from 1 species